GAUGAACGCUGGCGGUGUGCCUAAUACAUGCAAGUCGUGCGGAAAGCUCUUCGGAGUACUCGAGCGGCGGACGGCUGAGUAACGCGUGGGAACGUGCCCCAAAGUGAGGGAUAAGCACCGGAAACGGUGUCUAAUACCGCAUAUGGUCUUCGGAUUAAAGCUUCGGCGCUUUGGGAGCGGCCUGCGUACGAUUAGAUUGUUGGUGAGGUAACGGCUCACCAAGUCGACGAUCGUUAACUGGUCUGAGAGGAUGAUCAGUCAGACUGGAACUGAGACACGGUCCAGACUCCUACGGGAGGCAGCAGUAAGGAAUCUUCCACAAUGGGGGCAACCCUGAUGGAGCAACACCGCGUGAAGGAUGAAGGCCCUCGGGUCGUAAACUUCUUUUAUAAGCGAGGAAUAUGACGGUAACUUAUGAAUAAGGGUCGGCUAACUACGUGCCAGCAGCCGCAGUAAAAC
rnacentral:rRNA from 1 species